UACGAAGGGGGCUAGCGUUGUUCGGAAUUACUGGGCGUAAAGCGCGCGCAGGCGGCUAUCCAAGUCAGUGGUGAAAGCCCGGAGCUCAACUCCGGAACUGCCAUUGAAACUGUUUAGCUUGAGGACGAGAGAGGUGAGUGGAAUUCCCAGUGUAGAGGUGAAAUUCGUAGAUAUUGGGAAGAACACCGGUGGCGAAGGCGGCUCUCGUGGGACGGUACUGACGCUGAGACGCGAAAGCGUGGGGAGCGAACAGG
rnacentral:rRNA from 1 species